UAGGUUGAAGCGGCGGUGACUAUGGCGGUGUAGGUGGAAGCAGCGGUGGAGGAGGAGGAUGAGGUAGCCAACACUGUUUUUUAUAUGUAUAUUUUUUAUUUUAAUUAGGGUAGCCCCCAAAAUAUUGGGACAUAUAAAAAAGCCAACUCUGUUCUGCAGAGUAGCUGUUGACAUUAUAGUUGAGCAGACACUUUGUUGACUCUAGAGAACCUCGGGCCAAUCGCACAUCCCCGUGGCGGUGACUUUGCAUGCGGAUGUCAUCCAUAUCAACUUUCGAUGCCAGUUUCUGCGCCUGACCACGGGUAACGGGGAAUCAGGGUUCCAUUCCAUACAGGGACCCUGAGAAAUGGGUACCACAUGCAAGCAGGCGCGCAAAUGACCCACUCUCGAUUCGGGAAGGUAGUGAUGACAAAUUACAAUACAGGACUCUUUAGAGGCCCUGUAAUUGUAAUGAGUCCACUUGAAAUUCUUUAACUCUGAUCAAUUUGAAGGGAAGUCUGGUGUAGAGCCACUGACCCGUGCGUGCUGCAGCUGAAAC
rnacentral:rRNA from 1 species